GUGUGUUCACACUUGCCAUGUUUGGUUCGAUUAAAAGAACUCUGGUGCAAUUGCUCUGUUAGUGUGGUUCAUUUGAGCAUGUGCGGACA